rnacentral:rRNA from 1 species
AACGAACGCUGGCGGCGCGUCUUAAACAUGCAAGUCGAACGAUCUGUAGCAAUACAGGGAGUGGCGGACGGGGUGAGGAACACGUAGGAAUCUACCUUGAAGAGCGGGACAACUUUGGGAAACCGGGGCUAAUACCGCAUAGUACAGAGAUGUUAAAGGGCUAGCAAUAGUCGCUUCGAGAUGAGCCUGCGGUCUAUCAGCUUGUUGGUGAGGUAAUGGCUCACCAAGGCUACGACGGAUAGCCGGUCUGAGAGGAUGAUCGGCCACACUGGCACUGAGACACGGGCCAGACUCCUACGGGAGGCAGCAGUUAAGAAUCUUGCGCAAUGGGGGAAACCCUGACGCAGCGACGCCGCGUGAAGGAUGAAGGCUUUCGGGUUGUAAACUUCGGUAGACUGGGAAGAGAACUACGUUCGUUGAGGGCGUAGAGUGACGGUACCAGUCUGAAGCCCCGGCUAAUUACGUGCCAGCAGCCGCGGUAAU